rnacentral:lncRNA from 1 species
CUUUUUGUUUGAGUGAUAAAAGAGACUGGCGAUCAUACACCAACAGAGACUCGAUUUGUUUAGUGCCAAUGGUUAAAAACAACAGAAAAAACAAGCAUUGCAGUAGUAGCAGACGUAGCAGACGGCCAGCCACACACACCGGCGCCAUCUUGCACGACGUUCUCUUGGAUUACGGCCUGCUGCUAAGACCUGCCUGCCCCAAAUAUUCUUCAAAUACUGCCAUAUAACUCCAUAUAGAUCUUGUUUUGCUGACCCUUGCCCCCCUCUGCCAAUCUGUCUCUGUGUACUUCUUUCACAUACGCAGUGGGAGAUCAUUAGUGCUAACAGGAACACCUGGACAUGGUGGUCUGUCUGUGAGCUGUUACCAUCUCUCCCUUAAAGACAAAUGCUAUGUGAUAAUGCUGAUGCUUUAGUUUCUCUUUAGCUUUUGUUUUUCUGUUAACGAAUUCCAUUGUUAAGCUUUGAUUCGCUGAUUAAUAAGUCUGAUGAAUGUAUUACGUUAUCUUUUGAAAUCAGGUAUCUCCUACUUUGCUGUAGCCUAGACCAGGGUAUUAACCUCAGGAUCUUUUCUGUGUAUGUAAGCCGACAUGUUAAAGUAUGGCAUUCACAGUAACUUAGCGUGUGUCUCUUAAACCAUCUGAGGUGUUUAAGUACAUGUUGUUUUGUUGGUUUGUGUUUGACUACCUGUUAGUGAAGGUUGGUGCCAGGAUUUCUUGGAUGGACACCAGUUACUGGCGUUUCAUCUCAGCGAGGCAGCACCUGCCUGUGUGGCUGCUGCCAUGUGGCAGUAACAUAAUUGGCAUGUCAAAAUCAAUAGAUGUUCACUGUGAGUAACAAAUCAUGCUGUGUCAGCUGAAAAAAAAAAAAAAGAAAGAUCUUACUAAGGAGUUUGAAUCAGCUGGUUUUAAUUGGUUGUAGAAAUUUGGAUUGUCAAGUCUUCAUUCAUUUUGUGUGGGGUUAGAAAUUAUAUGCCACUUUUCAGAGUUGUAUUUUUCUUAAUGGAGUUUGGGAGACUGUUGCAACCAGAUUCAUCACUGAAGCUGAAAAACAUGAGGUCAUCUGAAUUGAUAAAGUUUGGUUUUAAAAAUGUUUGGUAACCCAUACACUUUGUCAUGGGAUUUUGUGCCAGAUUGUGACAAAUUUACAGGCUCUAAAAACUUGCAGAGAAUUUUCACCUGCUGACCGUUAGCUAUGUAGGUUAUAGUCAGUGUCAUGCUAGUCACUGAAAAAUAGUUACUAGUUGCUUUGUAAAAAAGUAUCUCAGUUAGUAACUUAGUUACUUAAACCAAAAAGUAAUGUGUUACUGAGAAAGUCCCUUUUUAGUUACUGUAAAACGUUCUGCCAAUGCUUCCAUUACAUAAAGGUGGAUCGACUGAGUUCCCCUCUAGCCGUCAUUUCAGUUCUGUACUUAUACUGAAUAAAACAAAGUGUUGAUUAAAACAACCAUUUCAAUUUAUUUGCAUCCACAUCACUGAAUCUAAUCAUCCAAGCAAUAUGAUGCGUUAUACACCAACACAAACCUUGACACUAACACCUAAAUUUUACCAUUGGACUCGUGUAAUAAUAGCGUGAUAGUGCUUGAAUAGAUCCAAAUAAACAAUUAAACAUACUGUGCUAUUGUUUUAUCAAGUUGUGCCUGGCUAUGGGUUUGUCUUUUGAACCCCAACCCCUGCUGCUUGGGUGGAGUAGGUGUGUGCUAGCUGCUGUGACUCUCAGUCUUGGAUGCUGCGUCAGCUAUCUUAGCUGCAUGCCACUUCUCUAGUUGGCUCAGUAGAUUGCUGUUGCUGUUGUAUGCCAUAGAAAGGAUUUUUGACCCGGGACGCAGUUUACAUGUUACUGAAAUGUUGUUUUUCCCUUUGUUCUCGAGUUAAAAAUAAUGUGAGUAUCUCCAUGAGGAGAAACGUAUCCUCCCCUUCUCGCUCGCCAUCAUGCCGUGCCCUGACCUGUGCUUUAUUUUCCAAUUCAAUUAAACUUUAUCGACUGCAAAAAUGUUAUGGGAACUGUGUGCCGUUGUAAAACCUCACCAAGAGGAACGGAGCCCAAUAGAUUUGGGCUCCAUUCUGCUGCGUUGGAGCAACGCAGUGUUUGGUAAGCGAAACGGAGUUACUGAAUUUAAAAAAAACAUGCGUUAUAUUAUUAGUUACUGAAUAAAGGAACAGUGUUGCGUAAGGGCAUUACUAAUAAUGCGUUACUACCCAACACUGGUGAUAGCUGCAGUGUUAACUUCACUGUUAAAGAAAAACUUAAGUCUAAUCAAAGUCUGUACAGCUAUGCUUCUGUAAUUGACAUUAGUUAAGGUUUAAAUGUCACCAUUGAUAGCAAUGGUGAUAUUUGCAGUGCACGUGUGAAUAUGAAAAAAAUGGUUUUCUGCACAGCGCACUGUGUUCACACACAAGCUGACAAACUUCAAUCUUUUCUUGUCUCUCUCUCUUCUGAUAUGUAAGGCCACCAUCCCAAUCUCCACUUCAGUUUUUAUCCCAGACCAAUUUUCCUUUGUGGCCACUUUCUCUGAUCUCUGUCUUCUCCCCCUUCCCUCCACUUGUGACUGCUGUAUGAGCUCUGGCUGUUCACUGCUCAUCUCAAAGGUUGUGCAGACAAGCUAACACAGGUACGAUGCACACUAAAGCCACAAUGCAGACAAGGGUCAGCAUGUACUCAACAACAGAACAAUCACAGAGACCAUGUUCAUGUGAAAAGAGCAACAAUUUAUUCUGUUAUUUUUCUCCUUCCAGGGAAAAUUGUCUGUCUAGUGUACAAUUCAGUGAGCAACAGAACAAUACAGGAGCACAAUUUUGAUGUAACAGCUGACCCAAAAUAUCAAUAAAGUCAAUUUUAACACUGUCUAUUUCAAUAAAAUAUUGAAAUUGUAAUAUAAUCAAAAUUCAAUCCCUUAAAUCUAUUGGGCUCUUGCAUUUUAUUUAAAGGCAUUGCAUCACAGGUAAAACUUACAGGUUUUAAUGAGCAGUUUUCAAGCAUGCAAUCUGGACAAUCUCAGCGGCCCAAAAUAUACGAGUUUACUGUUCACCCAUGUAUCCUCACAGCAUGAGGUCUUACCUGUUAGACACGGGGUCAUUGGAGUUGACAUCAGGAUCCUCAGGAGGAUCAUUACAUCUAGUAGAUGCUUUUAUGUUAAACAAUCUUAUUCAAGAUGAAAACAAAUGAUCCUUCAGUUUUGCCCUUGCAUAUGUCUACUGGAUAUUUUCUCUUUUUCCCUUCCCAACCUCUGGUAUCUGCGUCUGUUCAUAAACUCACUGCUGUUAUUGUCAAGGAUUGCUAUAAAGCCUAUUUUAUAAAGGUGACAGAGUAUGCUUUUACAAGGUUUUUUGCCUUUAGACCAGUGUAAUUGAAGGUACCCACAGUAUCAACAAAUGAAUAAAAAAGAACAGACUGGAUCAGAAGAGCGGGUAUGAGCCCAUCUCACUACAUUUUGAUGUUAUUUUCAUCCCUUUUAAUGUAGCUUUUCUUGGUUCACACCAAUAUUCCUUCGAAUAGAGUUUCCAGUCACGAUACGCUCCUAAGUGGCUCAGCACAUGUGUUGAUAAGCAGUUGUCACCUGUAGGAGUAUCAUUGGAUUGAAGACAACUGUCUAAUGUGGUAAGCUUUAAGAAUAAAUAGCGGAUUUUGUAAAAGUGUAUCUAAACACAUUACCUGAAUACCUUAAAAGAAGAGAGUGGUGGUGUGGUGCAUACUGAUUCUGUUAUAGUUAACAUGCCUUGAUAAUGAGCACCUGCAAAAUGCAGGUGAAUUUCAGUCAUAGUAAGUGGCCCCAUGAGCUACUUUGUUGGGGCGUAACUGAUUUUUUUUUCUUAUUCUAGUCCCCUCAAAAGGCAUCUGAAGUAGUUAACCAUUUGCAAUGUGAUGCUACAAUACAACAACUCCAUAAGCACUAUC